UGUUGGUAUAAUACUCGCUGGUGUGCCUGAGCCCCAUCGGAGUGUAAAUGAACACCAUGGGCAAUACAUUGAUACACCAGUCGCGCAAUACAAGCUUAAGCGAGAGAGCACCCUUGAAUUAAAAUGCAUGCACCUUCGCGUUGAUGGGUGUCAGCUGGAUUGACAUAUUAAACAUUACCUUAAUCAUGCAUAUUAAAGCGGAGUAGUCAACACAGCGCAAAGGCAAUGCACGAAGACGCAGAGGCUGCCGCUGUUGGGCGUGUGUAGGGUAUACAAUCCGACAAUUUCUCAAACGUGAACCGGAUAAUAUUAAUUUGGAAACCCGCAGAAACUGGCUAAUGGGCGCAGGGUAAGGCUGACACUGGUACACGGCUAGCAAAUGCGCAGUGCGUCAAUUAAAGAACCGGUUUGAUAACCAAGAAGGAUUAUGCCGUAACAUUACCGCCACCCUGACACUUAUUUAAUAAGUAACAAAUAUGUACAUAUCGCACACUCUUUUCAAAAGUGACACAACCCAAAAUUUGGCAUUAUGUAUAUAAUGCAAUAUUUCAUUUUGCCAGUUUAUUUACAAGUAAAAAAGUGCUAAUCUGACACAUCCAAAUUAUAUUCAACUAUAAGUACAUAUUUAAGUUUCACUAGAAAAUUUCAGUAGCCUGUAAGAAAACUAAUGAAAUAAAAUCAUACUAUU